GGGCUUUACGCACCUCCGCGUCGUCAACUGACCUGUAGAUCCCCAUUUCGUGACAAAGCCACGCCCGACGUGCUCGCCAUGGUUUAGCUCCGUUUGAGACUUAUGAUCUAUACUGGGUUUUUAUUGUCCCCAGUUCCAGCCGGUCACUCUGCUACCCCCUAUUCGAAGUAGCAGCUCUCCCUUUGUCGGGCCUAGUGGUCGAUUCCGGGGAUUCACUGGCGAGUCACUAUUUCCUCCACCCCCACGUUUCUGUCGGUCCUCCCCUCGCAAGGCGGAAUCUCCCUUCGUUGGCGCUUUCGCCCCCAGCUGCUUCGCUUUCGCUCUUACAGCCGAACUCAUUGCUUUUGUAACCACUCUUAGGUUACGGGGCUUUUGGGUUCCAAAGGAGGCGUUCGAAUCCACCUUCCGCUUCUUCCGGGGGAAGGUCCCCCCGGGCUCGGUAGUCACUCUAUGGUGAGAUC
rnacentral:rRNA from 1 species